rnacentral:rRNA from 1 species
UACGGAGGGUGCAAGCGUUAUCCGGAUUCACUGGGUUUAAAGGGUGCGUAGGCGGGCUGAUAAGUCAGUGGUGAAAUCUCCGAGCUUAACUCGGAAACUGCCAUUGAUACUAUAGAUCUUGAAUUAUCUGGAGGUGAGCGGAAUAUGUCAUGUAGCGGUGAAAUGCUUAGAUAUGACAUAGAACACCAAUUGCGAAGGCAGCUCACUACGGAUUGAUUGACACUGAGGCACGAAAGCGUGGGGAUCAAACAGGA